CCUACGGGAUGCUGCAGUGGGGAAUAUUGGACAAUGGGCGAAAGCCUGAUCCAGCCAUGCCGCGUGUGUGAAGAAGGCCUUCGGGUUGUAAAGCACUUUCAGUGGGGAAGAAAGCCUUGGGGCUAAUACCCUCGAGGAAGGACAUCACCCACAGAAGAAGCACCGGCUAACUCCGUGCCAGCAGCCGCGGUAAUACGGAGGGUGCGAGCGUUAAUCGGAAUUACUGGGCGUAAAGCGCGCGUAGGCGGUCUGAUAAGCCGGUUGUGAAAGCCCCGGGCUCAACCUGGGAACGGCAUCCGGAACUGUCAGGCUAGAGUGCCGGAGAGGAAGGUAGAAUUCCCGGUGUAGCGGUGAAAUGCGUAGAGAUCGGGAGGAAUACCAGUGGCGAAGGCGGCCUUCUGGACUGACACUGACGCUGAGGUGCGAAAGCGUGGGUAGCAAACAGGAUUAGAUACCCUUGUAGUC
rnacentral:rRNA from 1 species